GCGCCUAUAGCUCAGGGGAUAGAGUGGCACACUCCGAAUGUGAAGGUCGCAGGUUCGAAUCCUGUUAGGCGCACCA
rnacentral:tRNA from 2 species